rnacentral:lncRNA from 1 species
GGUUUUGGGAGCUGUGAGCCUAGAACUGUGGACAAAGACCAAAUAUAUAUGAGAAAUAUACUUUGGUCAUUCGAAUGACCAAGUAUAUGUUACUUUAAAUCAUAAUAUCGCAGAAAGAGAGACAACUGUAUGGACGUAUGCUGAGUCUUAAAGGAAGAAAAUCUGUAGUGCCAAUGAACAUGAUCCAGCAUAGCCUGAAACUAUGAACUGUAUGGGAAAACGAAUGAGAAAUCUGACCUGUUGAAAUGAAAAAACAGCAUCUCCGGUCAGUCUGAGAAGCCCAUCCUCCCAGGAAGCAGUUUCUGACACGCAGAGCAGGCUCCUGCAGCAAGGUGAUAGCCUGGAAAGCCAGGCCGUUGUGUGAAGAGAGAAGUUUGCAAGUAUCACCAUUUUCCUCCUUAAAUAUAGGAAGGGGCCAGCAGUGGUCCAGCUGCCUGUGACAGCACAGCCAGGGGGCUUUCUUCCACAGCUUUCCCGAUGGAAGGAGCCUCUACAGCAAGCGGAAUCAGAGAAAGGCCUGACCCUUUUUCACCCUGGGAGAUUCGAGGAAGAAGAGAGAAAGGAACGAGGGCAGUGGAAUAAAGGGGAUGUGUCCCAGGGUUCCCCCUUCCUGGGUUUUGCAAAUGGAGGAGAAUAUGAGGGUGGCCCUGGCAGGCGGGCCAGACAACAGCUGCUCUCCAAAUGCCUGUCCCGGGCGUCUCCAAAUGCCUGUCCCGGGCGUCUCUGAGAGCUGGGCUCAGGGCCGGGGAGAGGACUCGCAAGAACGAGGAAACACACGGCAAAGAACAUCCCUGGCUCGGAAUUCACAAGCCCAGGAUAUCCCUGUCCUAACAGGAGAAGUUCAUAGUCUACUGUGUCUAGAGGCUGAUUUUGUUUUUAAAUAAAAUCACGAUUCA